AUUUCAUUCCUGCAUUGCCCUGUCAGCAACAAGUGGCGCCCAACGUGGGGCUCAAAGGACCGGACCUGGUUCCUGACAGAAGAAUUGCUCGAACAACUGAGGUGACGUAGGUACACCAAUUUGGGUUCCGGCUCAACAACUGAAACCAUAUCAUGACUCUGGAGAAAAGAAAAUGGCUGUAGGAUGUCGAGCCUCCUGUGAUGCAGAUGCAGGAGUUAACUCUGAAGACAACAGUGCUCUGGCCGACACCCCGAACUAGAGAAGCUCGACACCCAACCUCGGGGCAGAUAAAGAAAUUGUGUCAGGAUGCUGAAAAACAAAUUCAGCAAGUUCAGCUGCCUAUGACAGGUCCUAACCUGACGGCAGCAAUGUUGGCUCUUAUUGCUAUUGCUUCCUCAGAUGGACAAGAAAAACCCUCUCAGACCUAAAGCAGAAGGAAGGUGCUUGGUCCAUCUUGUCAGCAUUGAAGAAACAAAAAGGGGGACAUGUGGGAAACUGAGUCUUCCAUGUUUCUUAAACCAUGUCUGGGGUGGUGGCUUGGAAUGCUAAGCCACAAGCCUGCACGGAACACUGUGCAGGCACAUCUCACAAAGAUAUGUGUCUUGGGGCAUGACGACCCCGGUGUACUAUUGUCCUGUACCUAGGUUGUUCUUUCUGAUAUGCGACAAGAUGUAAACAGGCAUCUAAUGGAGUGAAGGUGUCACAAGACACGUAGCAUAUGCUUUCCUGUAUUAUGAAACAAAUAAAUAGCUGGGGCACGGAGAUACUGGUAUCCAC